rnacentral:rRNA from 1 species
GACGAACGCUGGCGGCGUGCUUAACACAUGCAAGUCGAACGGACAGGCCCUGCUUUUGUGGGGUGCUCGAGUGGCGAACGGGUGAGUAACACGUGAGUAAACUGCCCUUGACUUUGGGAUAACUUCAGGAAACUGGGGCUAAUACCGGAUAGGAGCUCCUGCUGCAUGGUGGGGGUUGGAAAGUUUCGGCGGUUGUGGAUGGACUCGCGGCUUAUCAGCUUGUUGGUGGGGUAGUGGCUUACCAAGGCUUUGACGGGUAGCCGGCCUGAGAGGGUGACCGGCCACCAUGGGACUGAGAGACGGCCCAGACUCCUACGGGACGCAGCAGUGGAGAAUAUUGCACAAUGGGCGGAAGCCUGAUGCAGCAGCGCCCCGUGCGGGAUGACGGCUUUCGGGUUGUAAACCGCUGUCGCAUGUGACGAAGCGUGAGUGACGGUAAUGGGUAAAGAAGCACCGGCUAACUACGUG